AUUGAACGCUGGCGGCAUGCCUUACACAUGCAAGUCGAACGGUAACGGGCCUUCGGGUGCCGACGAGUGGCGAACGGGUGAGUAAUGUAUCGGAACGUACCUUUCAGUGGGGGAUAACGUAGCGAAAGUUACGCUAAUACCGCGUAUUCUGUGAGCAGGAAAGCAGGGGAUCGCAAGACCUUGCGCUGAUUGAGCGGCCGAUAUCAGAUUAGCUAGUUGGUGAGGUAAAGGCUCACCAAGGCGACGAUCUGUAGCGGGUCUGAGAGGACGACCAGCCACACUGGGACUGAGACACGGCCCAGACUCCUACGGGAGGCAGCAGUGGGGAAUUUUGGACAAUGGGCGCAAGCCUGAUCCAGCCAUUCCGCGUGCAGGAUGAAGGCCCUCGGGUUGUAAACUGCUUUUGUACGGAACGAAAAGGCGCUGGUUAAUACCCGGGGCUCAUGACGGUACCGUAAGAAUAAGCACCGGCUAACUACGUGCCAGCCGCCGCCGUAAUAC
rnacentral:rRNA from 1 species